UGACCUCAAAUCGGGUGAGACUACCCGCUGAACUUA
rnacentral:rRNA from 1 species